rnacentral:misc_RNA from 1 species
CUGAAUGUCGGUGCUCAUGAUUUUGCAUGGUUAAAGAAGUUUUGGAACUUGAAUUAUCUUCCUCCUCACAAAUUACGUUAUUUCUCCCGGUGGCCUCGUUUUGGGGUUCCCAGAAUUCCCAGAUCAGGAAAUUUGUCACUGGACAGAGUGAUGACAGAAUUUUUCCUCCGUGUAGAUGCUACACCCGCUUGUAUAAAACACAUGCCAUUAGAUGAUGAUGACCCAGCAAAAGGACUUACUUUUAAUAUGACAAAGUUGAAAUAUGAAAUCUGUUUCAGUCGGGGUAAGCAGAAGUACACUUUUGAAUGCAAGCGAGACACUCUUGAUCUUGUUUACCA